rnacentral:rRNA from 1 species
AAGAAAUCAACCGAGAUUCCCCCAGUAGCGGCGAGCGAACGGGGAGGAGCCCAGAGCCUGAAUCAGUGUGUGUGUUAGUGGAAGCGUCUGGAAAGGCGCGCGAUACAGGGUGACAGCCCCGUACACAAAAAUGCACAUGCUGUGAGCUCGAUGAGUAGGGCGGGACACGUGGUAUCCUGUCUGAAUAUGGGGGGACCAUCCUCCAAGGCUAAAUACUCCUGACUGACCGAUAGUGAACCAGUACCGUGAGGGAAAGGCGAAAAGAACCCCGGCGAGGGGAGUGAAAAAGAACCUGAAACCGUGUACGUACAAGCAGUGGGAGCCUCUUUAUGGGGUGACUGCGUACCUUUUGUAUAAUGGGUCAGCGACUUAUAUUCUGUAGCAAGGUUAACCGAAUAGGGGAGCCGAAGGGAAACCGAGUCUUAACUGGGCGUUAAGUUGCAGGGUAUAGACCCGAAACCCGGUGAUCUAGCCAUGGGCAGGUUGAAGGUUGGGUAACACUAACUGGAGGACCGAACCGACUAAUGUUGAAAAAUUAGCGGAUGACUUGUGGCUGGGGGUGAAAGGCCAAUCAAACCGGGAGAUAGCUGGUUCUCCCCGAAAGCUAUUUAGGUAGCGCCUCGUGAAUUCAUCUCCGGGGGUAGAGCACUGUUUCGGCAAGGGGGUCAUCCCGACUUACCAACCCGAUGCAAACUGCGAAUACCGGAGAAUGUUAUCACGGGAGACACACGGCGGGUGCUAACGUCCGUCGUGAAGAGGGAAACAACCCAGACCGCCAGCUAAGGUCCCAAAGUCAUGGUUAAGUGGGAAACGAUGUGGGAAGGCCCAGACAGCCAGGAUGUUGGCUUAGAAGCAGCCAUCAUUUAAAGAAAGCGUAAUAGCUCACUGGUCGAGUCGGCCUGCGCGGAAGAUGUAACGGGGCUAAACCAUG